AACGUAGGGGACAGGCGUUAUCCGGAUUUACUGGGCGUAAAGCGCCCGUAGGCGGCCUGACAAGUUGGACGUGAAAGCUCCUGGCUUAAACUGGGAGAGGCCGUUCAAAAACUGUCAAGCUAGAGUCUGGAAGAGGAGAGCGGAAUUCCCGGUGUAGUGGUGGAAUGCGUAGAGAUCGGGAGGAACACCAGUGGCGAAAGCGGAUUUCUGGACCAGUUCUGACACUGAUGAGCGAAAGCCAGGGGAGCAAACAGG
rnacentral:rRNA from 1 species